GUCUGUAUCCAGAGCCACCUUUAAAACUGUGGAUGUACAGUGCCAGAGCAGUUGCUUGCACAUAACUGGGGCCUACAGCUCUCUGCCGGCGACCCUUUUAACUCGAGCGACACGG